GCUCCCAUCGUAUAGCCUGGUCUAGUACGCAGGAUUUUCAUUCCUGUAACGCCGGUUCAAAUCCGGCUGGGAGCA
rnacentral:tRNA from 2 species